CAGGAGACUCUGAGAGCAGUGAAACGAUUCUGUCUGAUCCCAUCCUGGUGGAUGCAUGUCAUUCAUUAUGCAUUCGUCAAAACCAAGUGUCCAACACAAACAAUAAACCCUACGAUUCUUCAAGUAACUGCACUCCUUGGAAUGGCCAACCCAGUCCCAUCUGCCCUUGAUUACUUAAUGUGCAGCCACCGGCGAGUUCAAAGUGACUUUUCCACAGUGAAGAUGGAAGCACACCUGGGCGGCGGAACGAGUGAUGUGGGCUCAGCUCACACAACUUCUCACACAGGGAUCUCACAGGCAGCAGAAAGAAGGAAGUCCCUCCCCGCAAGAAGGCUUGGGAAGGACAGUCUCCGUGCUCCAGGAGACUCUGCACUUUAAGGAAGAUUCCUUCCUGCUCUCGCUUAUCUUUUUUAGUUUUUUUCUAAGUAUCUUUUUGCUGAUUAACUCCACUCUGCCAAUAGUGAGUCCUCUCAAAGGACUCCAAGUUCCCACAGUGCAUAUGUAUCCAAUUUUAUUGCUUUGCACUUGAUAUAUGGCUUUGUAACUGCUCAAGGCAUAUUUUUGUGAACAUUAUGUUUCUGUCUCCCAUACUCUACUCAAGCUUCUUAACAAUAAAAAUCAUGCCCUGCC